UCCCAGAAACAGUGGGCACACCACACACAGAGAGUGGAGUGUAUAGACACCCUUAAAACCACUAGAUUGCGCCCUCUCUGGGGUGUACCCUUUUGGCCUAGGUAUAUAGAUGGAUGGAUUGUAACAAACUAAUGAAAAAAAGUAAAAAAGAUAAGAAAAAACAUGGAAGGGCAAUUUAACCUAAACCUAUCGGAAUUAUUAAACGCUUCAUAUCAGUCAGUAUCUAUGAUGCAUUUGUGUGUUCCAUUGUGUGAAGCAUAUAUGUAUGUAUGCAUAUAUGUCAAAACUGAUUUACAACUGUCUCAACUUUAUUCCUAAAAAUGCUCCAGAAUGCCAGUUUUCCGUAUUUGGUGUGCUGAUCGCAUCAUAAGGAAAUCGGUUGUGUCAGUAGCAGAAAUUGAAGAACUAAAGAAAAAAAGCAACACAAAAACUCGGUUUGGAGUUGGUAGGACCUACGAAGUUAGUUCUAGAGAAAUGUGGUACAGAAGUGGACGACGAUGAGGUGUUGGAAGAAAUUGCUGAUGAAGUCUUACUAUUGUUGGCUGAUGGAGAAACUUAUACACCAUCUGUAGCUCAGCAAAUACCUGACUCUACUCGAAGUUUGGUAACAUGUACUACAGGCGAUGUACUUCAACCCAGCAGGAGUGCAAGUGACAACGAAAAGGCAAGCACAAGUUCAAGUGAGACAGAGGCAUAUGCCAGUCACAAAUCAUGUAACACAUUAUCAUUGCCUCUGCCAGAACUCUCACGGGCAACCCGAGAUGACUUACAACAGGGAGAUAAAUCAAGACGGGUCUUGUUGCAGCUGAUAGAAGAAUCCAAGAACUACUACAUGAAGUAUUGCCCUCUGCUUGAUGAAAACCCUUAAGCUACGGUUACACUAGCCACUGCUACCCCUGGGCCCAGCCUUGGGCCUGGGACGGAGGCCAGCCUUAUGCCUGGAUUUACAAGGCAAGUGGUUACACACAGCCCAGCCCCAGUCCUGGGCACUCUUGAUCUUGAUUUUGAUACUUGGUGCGCCGAUCUAAACAAAGCGCAUCAGACCUCAAGAUGGCUUUUCUAGGAGACUAUAUAUGGCCUCUUGUGGCCACGCAAUGGACUUUUCAACAAAAGCCAUGUUUAAAACCUUGCCCUGCAGCGUGUGUUUGUUUACAUCUGAGGAUUUCCCAGGUCAAGCGAGGGAUGAUGUUUUCUAAUAAUUUGUGUGCAGCUAAUUAUAACUAAUCAUGCAUGAAAAUAAAUAAAUUGCAUAUAUAGUGAUAUAAUAUCUAGAUAUUUUAUUAUUUAGGAAAAUUUGGGUUUAGUUGUUUGCGUGAAUAAUAUAGUCU